GUUAGAUCGCCUAAAAAAAGUCUCAUACGGGACCGCCCUUUGCGCAUGUGCGAGACAGCGUGCCCUUUGCGCAUGUGCGAGACUGUGCGCGCUCUUUCCGCCCAUUUCUGGCUGCAACCAUCUCCAACGCCAAAUUUGGAGGACGCUGCAAAAAUAAAAAAGGGGAAAAUCCACUACUUGUUUAAGUUGUAAAGCAGCUUGUGGCAACCUCCUAGGGAUGAGCAAAGGAGGAGUGAAGGGGCAGAGGAUUAAGGAAGUCCUGUCUAUCACAGAUUUGUGUGACAACAUCAACACCAGGAGGGAG